UUAAGUUCAGCGGGUACUCCUACCUGAUCCGAGGUCAACCAUUUGAUACAUAUUAAAGUUUCACUUGGCUGUGCCGCGCGAACGCCUUCUAAAAGUGAGAAGAUAAUUACUACACUUCAAGGCGACGCGAGCCCUGCCACGAGAUUUAAGGAGUUGCGUCGCGGAUAACCGCGAGGAUGCAAACACCCAACGCUAAACAG
rnacentral:misc_RNA from 1 species